rnacentral:lncRNA from 10 species
CUCUGUCUCUCCUGCCACCAUGUGAAGAAGGUGCUUGUUUCCCCUUUGCCUUCCGCCAUGAGUGUAAGUUUCCUGAGGUCUCCCAGUCAUACUGCUGGUUAAGCCUGCAGAACGGUGUACUUGUUUGAAAUGUAUCUGGCCCAAUCGCUGAGCGUCCGCGCUGCAUUUCUCCAAACUGCCCAGCAGGGGGCGGUGCUACCUCGGCUCCGCGCAGCCACGGCUUCCCGCUGGCGAACCAAGGGCGCGGAAUCUGGAGAGGGCGAGGAACAUCUUUCCUCCCACCUGUCCCCCGCCAAGCCUGCCAGACCCGUCUCAUCCGUGCUGCUGCUUCUGAAAAUCAGAAGAGUGAGGAUGAAAUAAAGUCUUCAUAAAGGAAAACCA